rnacentral:rRNA from 1 species
GGGGAAUUUUCCGCAAUGGGCGAAAGCCUGACGGAGCAAUACCGCGUGAGGGAGGAAGGCUCUUGGGUCGUAAACCUCUUUUCUCAGGGAAGAACACAAUGACGGUACCUGAGGAAUAAGCAUCGGCUAACUCCGUGCCAGCAGCCGCGGUAAUACGGAGGAGGCAAGCGUUAUCCGGAAUGAUUGGGCGUAAAACNNCCGUAGGUGGCAGUUCAAGUCUGCUGUCAAAGACAGUAGCUCAACUACUGAAAGGCAGUGGAAACUGAACAGCUAGAGUACGGUAGGGGCAGAGGGAAUUCCCGGUGUAGCGGUGAAAUGCGUAGAUAUCGGGAAGAACACCGGUGGCGAAAGCGCUCUGCUGGGCCGUAACUGACACUGAGGGACGAAAGCUAGGGGAGCGAAAGGGAUUAGAUACCCCAGUAGUC